UCAACAACUCGGUCUGACCUUUGCUAUCAGAGUCAGCCUAUGCCAAGCACUGCAGCAGUUUCAGCAGCUGAUCUGCCAUUAAACGCUCGCUGUCUGCAGGUGGCGGACGGACACUCGCGGGUCAGCUGACCGUCGGCCGUCACGCGGGAUAAAAGACCGCCGACUCGGACACUUCUGGAGAGACUUUGUGGCUCUCACGGUUCCUUCACCGGCGACCUCGCGUUUUACUGUACUCUUAUUUCUGGGAUAGGAAAGUAGCAGAGCUGGAGAGUAUGCUGUUUUGGCACAGCCAUCCUGAAAACUACCAGCAGCACGCGCAAAACACUUACAUCAGAGAUGCUCUUGCUCCGUUUCUCAAGCAUGAAGAAGAACAUCAGGCUGCAGAGAUCGGAGCAUCUCCUUUUCAUUAUGUGCUUUGUGCAGCCACUUCUCCAGCUGUGAAACUCCAUGAUGAAACACUCACAUAUCUGAAUCAAGGUCAGUCCUAUGAAAUCCGUAUGCUUAACGGGAAGCUGGUGGAGUAUACAGAUGUAAGCAGCAAAUAUGUAAAGAGCAUUGUGCGUGUUGUUUUUCAUGACCGGCGGCUGCAGUACACAGAGCAUCAGCAGCUGGAGGGAUGGAGGUGGAACCGGCCAGGAGACAGGAUUCUGGAUAUAGAUAUCCCACUGUCAGUGGGCAUAAUAGAGCCUCACGCUCACCCACUGCAGCUCAACACCAUCGAAUUCCUCUGGGAUCCUGACAAAAAUGCCUCUGUCUUCAUUCAGGUUAAUUGCAUUAGCACAGAGUUCACUCCUAGAAAACACGGUGGAGAGAAAGGUGUCCCUUUUCGGAUUCAGAUUGACACAUUCACAGCCAGUGCACAUGGAGAAUACACUGAACACAUGUGCUCCGCCAGCUGCCAGGUCAAAGUCUUUAAGCCUAAAGGUGCAGAUCGCAAGCUCAAGACUGACAGAGAGAAGAUCGAGAAGAAGAGUCUUCAGGAUAAAGAAAAAUACCAACUGUCCUAUAAAACGACUGUGUUGACUGAGUGCUCCCCUUGGCCCGAAGCCCCAUCCAUCAGCAGCACGAGCAACACUCCAUCACCUGCUUAUCACAGCGCUCACACUUCCUACAGCUUUCCAGAGGAGUGUGUGUUUGAGGACAUGGAUGAUGCUAUUCUUCUUCUUUUUGCCAUUAGCACCUGUUGCCUUCGUCCUCCACACAGGACACACAGCAGUGGCUCCAUCGUAACAGGUUCUCCUCUUUCUGCAGGCUCUUCUCUGGCUUCUCAGGUUCAGAUCUGCUAAAAAUGGGUCGAGAUGACUUCAUUCAGAUCUGUGGUCCUGCUGAUGGCAUUCGUCUUUUCAAUGCAAUCAAAGGAAGGUGCAUCCAGCCACGUCUCACUGUCUAUGUCUCCCAGCUGCAGAACAGGAUCCAGCCGCACACAAAAGCAGUGGGUGACGGCGCGAAUACAUGGCGUAUAUAGACAAGGGCCGAAGGGGAUACAUGUCUUGGUUUCAGAUGAGAUGGUGCAGAACUUUACAGAGGAGGCAAGCUUCACUAUCAGCACUGUAAAAGAUGACAGGAAUGAAGGCUAUCAUGUUGUACUGAAGUGACUUGACGACUGAAGCAUGGUCUGUAGCUUCUCUUUACGAUACUGGACUGUUUUUCAGCUAAAUAUCACCUGGUGGAAUGUGACACGAAUGAAUGUGGAUGAGGUUUGUAUGAUGACUGUGCCUUACUCUCAGAGAGAAUCCUCUGGACUGUUUUACUGGAAAUUGAUUCAAAUGUUUAUUGUGUUUGUUUAUACAUAUUUUUGUUCAUAUGUGUUUUAUAGUAAUUAUUUUAUCAUGUGAAAUGAAAUUCUUGAAGUCUUUUCAAAGCAUCGUCUGACAUUUAUUUUCUAUUUUAGAGUUUUCAAAAUAGUAAAAAGUUAAAUAUAUUUAAUGUAUUAUGUUGUAUGUUUCUAGAAAAAAACUCUAAUUCAAAAUGUAGCAUUUUAAAACGUUGAUAAAGUCUCCUCUAACUGGAAAUAAUCUGUUUCAUAUUGGACAGGUUCUGUUGAUCAGAAUGAAAAUAUUGAAAUAAAAGUCUUUGCUCAG